GACGAACGCUGGCGGCGUGCCUAAUACAUGCAAGUCGAACGCAGUGGGGACGGGUGCGUAACACCUGGGUAACCUCCCAUCAGAGGGGAUAACACUUGGCAACUGGUGCUAACCCCCUACUGAUGGCUGGACCCGCGGUGCAUAAGCUAGUUGGUGAGGUACCGGCGCACCAAGGCCACGAUGCAUAGCCGACCUGAGAGGGUGAACGGCCACACGGGAACUGAGCCACGGACCAGACUCCGACGGGAGGCAGCAGUAGGGAAUCUUGGGCAAUGGAGGAAAGCCGGAUCGAGCAACGCCGCGUGAGUGAAGAAGGUUUUCGGGUCGUAAAACACUGUGGUUAGAGAAGCGGUAUCUAACCAGAAAGCCACGGCUAACUACGUGCCAGCAGCCGCGGUAAUAC
rnacentral:rRNA from 1 species